AUUGAACGCUGGCGGCAUGCCUUACACAUGCAAGUCGAACGGCAGCACAGGAGCAAUCCUGGUGGCGAGUGGCGAACGGGUGAGUAAAGUAUCGGAACGUGCCCAGUCGUGGGGGAUAACGUAGCGAAAGUUACGCUAAUACCGCAUACGAUCUAUGGAUGAAAGCGGGGGAUCGCAAGACCUCGCGCGAUUGGAGCGGCCGAUAUCAGAUUAGGUAGUUGGUGGGGUAAAGGCUCACCAAGCCGACGAUCUGUAGCUGGUCUGAGAGGACGACCAGCCACACUGGGACUGAGACACGGCCCAGACUCCUACGGGAGGCAGCAGUGGGGAAUUUUGGACGAUGGGCGCAAGCCUGAUCCAGCCAUGCCGCGUGCAGGAUGAAGGCCUUCGGGUUGUAAACUGCUUUUGUACGGAACGAAAAGGUUUGACUUAAUACGUUGGACUCAUGACGGUACCGUAAGAAUAAGCACCGGCUAACUACGUGCCAGCAGCCGCGGUAA
rnacentral:rRNA from 1 species